rnacentral:rRNA from 1 species
UACGAAGGGUGCAAACGUUGCUCGGAAUUAUUGGGCGUAAAGCGCACGUAGGCGGCUUUGCAAGUCGGAUGUGAAAUCCCUCGGCUCAACCAAGGAAGUGCAUCCGAAACUGCAGAGCUUGAGUACCAAAGAGGAUCGCGGAAUUCCCGGUGUAGAGGUGAAAUUCGUAGAUAUCGGGAGGAACACCAGUGGCGAAGGCGGCGAUCUGGGUGGAUACUGGACGCUGAGGUGCGAAAGCGUGGGGAGCGAACAGG